rnacentral:rRNA from 1 species
AAUAGAUACCCGGUAGUCCUAGCCGUAAACGAUGACCACUAGACGUCUGAGGUAUCGACCCCUUAGGUGUCGAAGCAAACGCGAUAAGUGGUCCGCCUGGGGAGUACGGUCGCAAGAUUAAAACUCAAAGGAAUUGACGGGGGCUCACACAAGCGGUGGAGCAUGUGGCUUAAUUCGAGGCUACGCGAAGAACCUUAUCCCGGACUUGACAUGUGCGAAAGCGCUCCGAGGUAGGACCCGGAAACGGGGACGAACGGUAUCCAACCCGGAACGGAGCACAGGUGCUGCAUGGCUGUCGUCAGCUCGUGUCGUGAGAUGUCGGGUUAAGUCCCAUAACGAGCGAAACCCUUACCCCUUGUUGCGACCCGAAAGGGGCACUCGAGGGGGACUGCCGGUGUCAAACCGGAGGAAGGUGGGGAUGACGUCAAGUCCUCAUGGCCUUUAUGUCCGGGGCUGCACACGUGCUACAAUGGCGUGAACAGAGGGACGCGACCUGGCGACAGGAAGCCGACCCCGGAAAGCACGCCCCAGUUCGGAUCGCGGGCUGCAACCCGCCCGCGUCGAAGCC